AACGUAGGACGCAAGCGUUAUCCGGAGUUACUGGGCGUAAAGCGCGGGCAGGCGGUUCCUUAAGUCUGAUGUGAAAUCUCCCGGCUCAACCGGGAGCAGCCAUUGGAAACUAGGGAACUGGAGGGCGAGAGAGGUAGGCGGAAUUCCGGGUGGAGUGGUGAAAUGCGUAGAGAUCCGGAGGAACACCAGAGGCGAAGGCGGCCUACUGGCUCGCACCUGACGCUGAGCCGCGAAAGCCAGGGGAGCGAAC
rnacentral:rRNA from 1 species